rnacentral:rRNA from 1 species
GGACUACCAGGGUUUCUAAUCCUGUUUGCUCCCCACACUUUCGCGCCUCAGCGUCAGUUACAGUCCAGUCAGCCGCCUUCGCCACUGGUGUUCCUCCCGAUCUCUACGCAUUUCACCGCUACACCGGGAAUUCCGCUAACCUCUCCUGCACUCCAGCCCUACAGUUUCCAAAGCUAUUCCAACCUUAAAAGCUGGACUUUCACUUCAGACUUACACGGCCGCCUACGCGCCCUUUACGCCCAAUCAUUCCGGACAACGCUUGCCCCCUACGUAUUACCGCGGCUGCUGGCAC